UUAAAUUGAAGAGUUUGAUCAUGGCUCAGAUUGAACGCUGGCGGCAGGCCUAACACAUGCAAGUCGAACGGUAACAGGAAGCAGCUUGCUGCUUUGCUGACGAG
rnacentral:rRNA from 23 species